rnacentral:rRNA from 1 species
AGUGAACGCUGGCGGCAGGCCUAACACAUGCAAGUCGAACGGCAGCACAAGAGAGCUUGCUCUCUGGGUGGCGAGUGGCGGACGGGUGAGGAAUGCAUCGGAAUCUGCCCAUUUGUGGGGGAUAACCUCGGGAAACCGGGACUAAUACCGCAUACGACCUACGGGUGAAAGCAGGGGAUCUUCGGACCUUGCGCAGAUGGAUGAGCCGAUGCCGGAUUAGCUAGUUGGAGGGGUAAAGGCCCACCAAGGCGACGAUCCGUAGCUGGUCUGAGAGGAUGAUCAGCCACACUGGGACUGAGACACGGCCCAGACUCCUACGGGAGGCAGCAGUGGGGAAUAUUGGACAAUGGGCGCAAGCCUGAUCCAGCCAUGCCGCGUGGGUGAAGAAGGCCUUCGGGUUGUAAAGCACUUUUGUUGGGAAAGAAAAGCAGCCGGUUAAUACCCGGUUGUCAUGACGGUACCCAAAGAAUAAGCACCGGCUAACUUCGUG